rnacentral:rRNA from 1 species
AAUGAACACUGGCGGCGUGCCUAAUACAUGCAAGUCGAGCGAACGGACGAGAAGCUUGCUUCUCUGAUGUUAGCGGCGGACGGGUGAGUAACACGUGGAUAACCUACCUAUAAGACUGGGAUAACUUCGGGAAACCGGAGCUAAUACCGGAUAAUAUUUUGAACCGCAUGGUUCAAAAGUGAAAGACGGUCUUGCUGUCACUUAUAGAUGGAUCCGCGCUGCAUUAGCUAGUUGGUAAGGUAACGGCUUACCAAGGCAACGAUGCAUAGCCGACCUGAGAGGGUGAUCGGCCACACUGGAACUGAGACACGGUCCAGACUCCUACGGGAGGCAGCAGUAGGGAACCUUCCGCAAUGGGCGAAAGCCUGACGGAGCAACGCCGCGUGAGUGAUGAAGGUCUUCGGAUCGUAAAACUCUGUUAUUAGGGAAGAACAUAUGUGUAAGUAACUGUGCACAUCUUGACGGUACCUAAUCAGAAAGCCACGGCUAACUACGUGCCAGCAGCCGCGGUAAUACGUAGGUGGCAAGCGUUAUCCGGAAUUAUUGGGCGUAAAGCGCGCGUAGGCGGUUUUUUAGUCUGAUGUGAAAGCCCACGGCUCAACCGUGGAGGGUCAUUGGAAACUGGAAAACUUGAGUGCAGAAGAGGAAAGUGGAAUUCCAUGUGUAGCGGUGAAAUGCGCAGAGAUAUGGAGGAACACCAGUGGCGAAGGCGACUUUCUGGUCUGUAACUGACGCUGAUGUGCGAAAGCGUGGGGAUCAAACAGGAUUAGAUACCCUGGUAGUCCACGCCGUAAACGAUGAGUGCUAAGUGUUAGGGGGUUUCCGCCCCUUAGUGCUGCAGCUAACGCAUUAAGCACUCCGCCUGGGGAGUACGACCGCAAGGUUGAAACUCAAAGGAAUUGACGGGGACCCGCACAAGCGGUGGAGCAUGUGGUUUAAUUCGAAGCAACGCGAAGAACCUUACCAAAUCUUGACAUCCUUUGACAACUCUAGAGAUAGAGCCUUCCCCUUCGGGGGACAAAGUGACAGGUGGUGCAUGGUUGUCGUCAGCUCGUGUCGUGAGAUGUUGGGUUAAGUCCCGCAACGAGCGCAACCCUUAAGCUUAGUUGCCAUCAUUAAGUUGGGCACUCUAAGUUGACUGCCGGUGACAAACCGGAGGAAGGUGGGGAUGACGUCAAAUCAUCAUGCCCCUUAUGAUUUGGGCUACACACGUGCUACAAUGGACAAUACAAAGGGCAGCGAAACCGCGAGGUCAAGCAAAUCCCAUAAAGUUGUUCUCAGUUCGGAUUGUAGUCUGCAACUCGACUACAUGAAGCUGGAAUCGCUAGUAAUCGUAGAUCAGCAUGCUACGGUGAAUACGUUCCCGGGUCU